rnacentral:rRNA from 1 species
AACGAACGCUGGCGGCAUGCCUUACACAUGCAAGUCGAACGGCAGCACGGGGCAACCUGGUGGCGAGUGGCGAACGGGUGAGUAAUGCAUCGGAACGUACCUUUCAGUGGGGGAUAACGUAGCGAAAGUUACGCUAAUACCGCAUAUUCUGUGAGCAGGAAAGCAGGGGAUCGCAAGACCUUGCGCUGAUUGAGCGGCCGAUGUCAGAUUAGCUAGUUGGUGAGGUAAAGGCUCACCAAGGCGACGAUCUGUAGCGGGUCUGAGAGGAUGAUCCGCCACACUGGAACUGAGACACGGUCCAGACUCCUACGGGAGGCAGCAGUGGGGAAUUUUGGACAAUGGGGGCAACCCUGAUCCAGCCACGCCGCGUGAGUGAAGAAGGCCUUCGGGUUGUAAAGCUCUUUCGGCCGGGAAGAAAUCGCACGGGCUAAUACCCUGUGUGGAUGACGGUACCGGAAUAAGAAGCACCGGCUAACUACGUGCCAGCAGCCGCAGUAAGAC